rnacentral:rRNA from 1 species
CAGUAGCCGCGGGAAUACGUAGGUCCCGAGCGUUGUCCGGAUUUAUUGGGCGUAAAGCGAGCGCAGGCGGUUAGAUAAGUCUGAAGUUAAAGGCUGUGGCUUAACCAUAGUACGCUUUGGAAACUGUUUAACUUGAGUGCAAGAGGGGAGAGUGGAAUUCCAUGUGUAGCGGUGAAAUGCGUAGAUAUAUGGAGGAACACCGGUGGUGAAAGCGGCUCUCUGGCUUGUAACUGACGCUGAGGCUCGAAAGCGUGGGGAGCAAACAGGAUUAGAUACCCGGGUAGUCCCUGUCUCUUAUACA